rnacentral:rRNA from 1 species
UUCUGGCUCAGGACGAACGCUGGCGGCACGCUUAACACAUGCAAGUCGAACGGAGUUAUUGGAGCUUGCUUUGAUAAACUAGUGGCGGACGGGUGAGUAACACGUGAGCAAUCUGCCCUUAAGAGGGGGAUAGCAGUUGGAAACGACUGAUAAUACCGCAUAAGAUAGUAGUACCGCAUGGUACAGCUAUAAAAGAUUUAUCGCUUAAGGAUGAGCUCGCGUCUGAUUAGCUAGUUGGUGAGGUAACGGCUCACCAAGGCAACGAUCAGUAGCCGGACUGAGAGGUUGGACGGCCACAUUGGGACUGAGACACGGCCCAGACUCCUACGGGAGGCAGCAGUGGGGAAUAUUGCACAAUGGAGGAAACUCUGAUGCCAGCGAUGCCGCGUGAGGGAAGAAGGUUUUAGGAUUGUAAACCUCUGUUGACAGGGACGAUAAUGACGGUACCUGUUGAGGAAGCUCCGGCUAACUACGUGCCAGCAGCUGC